rnacentral:tRNA from 1 species
GCAGGUAUAGCUCAGUGGUAGAGUGUAUGCUUAGCACGCAUGAGGUCCUGGGUUCAAUCCCCAGUAUCUCCG